rnacentral:rRNA from 1 species
UACGUAGGGUCCGAGCGUUGUCCGGAAUUACUGGGCGUAAAGCGCGCGCAGGCGGCCCGCGAGGUGUCACGUGAAAGCCCCGGGCUCAACCCGGGAGGGUCGUGGCAAACCGGCGGGCUUGAGGCCGGUAGAGGUGGGUGGAACUCCUGGUGGAGUGGUGAAAUGCGUAGAGAUCAGGAAGAACACCCGUGGCGAAGGCGGCCCACUGGGCCGGUACUGACGCUGAGGCGCGAAGGCGUGGGGAGCGAUCCGG